rnacentral:rRNA from 1 species
UACGAAGGGGGCUAGCGUUGUUCGGAAUUACUGGGCGUAAAGGGCGCGUAGGCGGUGUGUCAAGUCAGGCGUGAAAAUCCCCGGGCUCAACCUGGGAACGUGACAUCUGUGACUGCAUUGCUGGAGUGGCGGCAGAGGGGGAUGGAAUUCCGGCGUGGUAAGCAGUGAAAUGCGUAGAUAAUGCGGAGGAACACCGAUGGCGGAAGGACAAUCCCCGUGGGCCUGCACAUGACGCUCCAGUGCACGAAAGCGUGGGGAGCAACGGGA